CGGGGUGUAGCUCAGCCUGGUAGAGCACUUGCUUCGGGAGCAAGGGGCCGGAGGUUCGAAUCCUCUCACCCCGACCA
rnacentral:tRNA from 1 species